rnacentral:sRNA from 1 species
CUUGGUCAUUUAGAGGAAGUAAAAGUCGUAACAAGGUCUCCGUUGGUGAACCAGCGGAGGGAUCAUUACCGAGUUUUCAACUCCCAAACCCCAUGUGAACUUAUACCAUUUACAACCGUUGCUUCGGCGGGUUCUCGCCCCGAGCUUUACACCCCGGAACCAGGCGGCCCGCCGGGGGACCCAAACUCUAGAUUUUUAUUUUAGCAUGUCUGAGUGGAAUCAUUACAAAAUGAAUCAAAACUUUCAACAACGGAUCUCUUGGUUCUGGCAUCGAUGAAGAACGCAGCGAAAUGCGAUAAGUAAUGUGAAUUGCAGAAUUCAGUGAAUCAUCGAAUCUUUGAACGCACAUUGCGCCCGCCAGUAUUCUGGCGGGCAUGCCUGUUCGAGCGUCAUUUCAACCCUCAAGCCCCAGCGGUUUGGUGUUGGGGACCGGCGAGUACAGAGGCUUUGGGGACUUGUCCCCCUUCCCUCGGCGCCGCCCCCGAAAUGAAUUGGCGGUCUCGUCGCGGCCUCCUCUGCGUAGUAGCACAACCUCGCAUCAGGAGCGCGGCGCGGCCACUGCCGUAAAACGCCCAACUUUUUUAAGAGUUGACCUCGAAUCGGGUAGGAAUACCCGCUGAACUUAAGCAUAUCAAUAAGCGGAGGAAAAGAAACCAACAGGGAUUGCCCCAGUAACGGCGAGUGAAGCGGCAACAGCUCAAAUUUGAAAUCUGGCCCCUAGGGCCCGAGUUGUAAUUUGCAGAGGAUGCUUUUGGCGAGGUGCCUUCCGAGUUCCCUGGAACGGGACGCCAUAGAGGGUGAGAGCCCCGUCUGGUUGGAUGCCGAGCCUCUGUAAAGCUCCUUCGACGAGUCGAGUUGUUUGGGAAU